rnacentral:rRNA from 1 species
AUUGAACGCUGGCGGCAUGCCUUACACAUGCAAGUCGAACGGUAACGGGCCUUCGGGCGCCGACGAGUGGCGAACGGGUGAGUAAUGUAUCGGAACGUACCUUUCAGUGGGGGAUAACGUAGCGAAAGUUACGCUAAUACCGCAUAUUCUGUGAGCAGGAAAGCAGGGGAUCGCAAGACCUUGCGCUGAUUGAGCGGCCGAUAUCAGAUUAGCUAGUUGGUGAGGUAAAGGCUCACCAAGGCGACGAUCUGUAGCGGGUCUGAGAGGAUGAUCCGCCACACUGGAACUGAGACACGGUCCAGACUCCUACGGGAGGCAGCAGUGGGGAAUUUUGGACAAUGGGGGCAACCCUGAUCCAGCCAUGCCGCGUGAGUGAAGAAGGCCUUCGGGUUGUAAAGCUCUUUCGGUCGGGAAGAAAUCGCAUGGGUUAAUACCCUGUGCGGAUGACGGUACCGGCAUAAGAAGCACCGGCUAACUACGUGCCAGCAGCCGCGGUAAAAC